rnacentral:rRNA from 1 species
UACGUAGGGUGCGAGCGUUAAUCGGAAUUACUGGGCGUAAAGCGUGCGCAGGCGGCUCCUUAAGUCAGAUGUGAAAGCCCCGGGCUUAACUUGGGAACUGCGUUUGAAACUGGGGAGCUAGAGUGUAGAAGAGGGGGGUGGAAUUCCAGGUGUAGCAGUGAAAUGCGUAGAGAUCUGGAGGAACACCGAUGGGCGAAGGCAGCUCGCUGGGCCGGUAACUGACGCUGAGGAGCGAAAG